UAACGCGUGGGUAACCUGCCCUAUACACAUGGAUAACAUACUGAAAAGUUUACUAAUACAUGAUAAUAUAUAUUUACGGCAUCGUAGAUAUAUCAAAGUGUUAGCGGUAUAGGAUGGACCCGCGUCUGAUUAGCUAGUUGGUGAGAUAACUGCCCACCAAGGCGACGAUCAGUAGCCGACCUGAGAGGGUGAUCGGCCACAUUGGAACUGAGACACGGCCCAGACUCCUACGGGAGGCAGCAGGG
rnacentral:rRNA from 1 species